rnacentral:rRNA from 1 species
AGCAGCCGCGGUAAUUCCAGCUCCAAUAGCGUAUAUUAAAGUUGUUGCAGUUAAAAAGCUCGUAGUUGAAUUUCGGGGUUAGCAGGUCGGUCGUGCCAUCGGUAUGAACUGGUCUCGCUGAUCCCUCCCUCUUGACGAACUGUGAUGCCAUUAAUUUGGUGUCGCAGGGAAUCAGGACUGUUACUUUGAAAAAAUUAGAGUGUUUAAAGCAGGCUCACGCUUGAAUACAUUAGCAUGGAAUAAUGAAAUAGGACGUUUGAUCCUAUUUUGUUGGUUUCUAGGAUUGACGUAAUGAUUAAUAGGGAUAGUUGGGGGCAUUAGUAUUCAAUUGUCAGAGGUGAAAUUCUUGGAUUUAUUGAAGACUAACUACUGCGAAAGCAUUUGUCAAGGAUGUUUUCAUUAAUCAAGAACGAAAGUUAGGGGAUCGAAGACGAUCAGAUACCGUCGUAGUCUUAACCAUAAACUAUGCCGACUAGGGAUCGGAUGAUGUAAUUUUUAAUGA